rnacentral:rRNA from 1 species
AGCGAACGCUGGCGGCAGGCCUAACAUAUGCAAGUCGAACGAACCCUUCGGGGUUAGUGGCGGACGGGUGAGUAACACGUGGGAACGUGCCUUUAGGUUCGGAAUAACUCAGGGAAACUUGUGCUAAUACCGAAUGUGCCCUUCGGGGGAAAGAUUUAUCGCCUUUAGAGCGGCCCGCGUCUGAUUAGCUAGUUGGUGAGGUAAUGGCUCACCAAGGCUACGAUCAGUAGCUGGUCUGAGAGGAUGACCAGCCACAUUGGGACUGAGACACGGCCCAAACUCCUACGGGAGGCAGCAGUGGGGAAUCUUGCGCAAUGGGCGAAAGCCUGACGCAGCCAUGCCGCGUGAAUGAUGAAGGUCUUAGGAUUGUAAAAUUCUUUCACCGGGGACGAUAAUGACGGUACCCGGAGAAGAAGCCCCGGCUAACUUCGUGCCAGCCGCCGCCGUAAUAC